rnacentral:rRNA from 1 species
GGUCCGAGUUGUAAUUUGUAGAGGAUGUUUCGGAUAAGGCUUUGGUUUAAGUUUCUUGGAACAGAACGUCAUAGAGGGUGAGAAUCCCGUCUAGAACCGAUAGCCACGUUCAUGUGAAACUCCUUCGAC